GCGCGGUGGCGGUCGCCGGCGACAGCGCAGGCGGCAAUCUUGCGGCGGUCGCCGCGCUGCAGUUGCGCGGUUCGGGCAUCGCGAUCGCGCACCA
rnacentral:tRNA from 1 species